UGAGUGUAGCAACAGCGCCAGUGAUUUAAAUUUUUACAAACAAACUUUUGGUAAAAAGCCUUGAAAUGUCGAUGAGAAGAGGUUCUGCACACGGACAAGAUUCUGCAUGUAAAGAAGGGGUUCUGCACACCGUCAAGCUCCUGCAUGUAAAGAAGAGGUUCUGCACAUGGAGAAUAUUCUGCAUUCAGCAGAUGGCAGCAGUGAACAAGGACGUUCCUUCACUGGAUCUUCUUCUGACCUUGGGGCUAUAGCUGAAGCGCUGACUCCCAGGGUAAAUUCAUCUUGGAAAAUAAAAAGAACAAGACCACAUGCUUCUCAGACAAGCGCUCAAAAGAGCAGCCCCAUUCAGUUCAGCAGGGAUGUGGCUCUGCUCUGAAAGGGAUCUGCUUGUGCCUGCACGCCUCGUCCACCCGUGCCCCCAAAAUGCUGGAUAAUUUAUGGCCUUGGAGGAGAUUAUAAAGAUGGAUCUUUGAGGCAAUCAAUUCUCAUGUUGCGUUUUGAAUGGUGGGAUAGAAAUGAAGUGCAGAAUAAUUAAAAAGAUCACAAGUCCCCCCUCGCAUGUAAUAAUGAGUGGCUCCAGAGGCAGUGGGCUCUGCCACAGCGCCGCAGGAACAGCCUUUGAUUUGACUGAGAGGACACCCGGCCCGGUCCAACAAGCCGUCGCACAAUGAGGGGGUUUCACCAACAUGGCCAUAUUGCGAAUAAGUCACAGAGGACUGUGUGAUUGUCCGGCAGAUCAUAAGCACAGACUGUUGUCGGAGGAAAUGAGGAGGAGGAGGGGGUGGAGAGUGGGGGUCUUGUUGCUUGGAUGUCUAAAGUCAGGGUGACUCAG